rnacentral:lncRNA from 1 species
AACGGCACAUGGGUUGUAUUUCUUGGGCCCCUUAUCAUUGCCUCAUAAUUAAUUCUGUGUUUAUAUGCACCCCUUUCCCUAACACUAUAUAUUCUUUGAAGGAAGUGGUGGUAGCAAUUAUAUUUAUAACUCCUAUGCCUCAUAGCUGGUGUCCACAUGUGUUGCCUAGACAGAGUAAAAGUUCAGCUAUCGACACAGGUUAUUCUUCUCUCCUGUUGCCUAUGCUUUCAGCCUUUGUGUGCGCGUUCAAGGAAAGACACACGUAGACACCCAUCAUGCAUGGCAUAAUUUCACUCUCUCUAACAGCCGCAUGCUCAACUUGGUCAAAUGCUCUUUAAUUAGCAAACUCUAAUCCAAGUCUACGUUACAGCUCUUUCAUGAUUUA